rnacentral:rRNA from 1 species
AACGAACGCUGGCGGCGUGCUUAACACAUGCAAGUCGAACGGAAAGGCCCUGCUUUUGUGGGGUGCUCGAGUGGCGAACGGGUGAGUAACACGUGAGUAACCUGCCCUUUACUUUUGGAUAACUUCAGGAAACUGGGGCUAAUACCGUAUAGGAGCUCCUGCUGCAUGGUGGGGGUUGGAUAGUUUCGGCGGGUGUGGUUGGACUCGCGGGUUAACAGCUUGUUAGUUGGCUAGUGGCUUACCAAGCCGUUGACCGGUAGCCGGCCGGAGAAGGGGACCGGCGACAUUGGGACUGAGAGACGGCGCAGACGGCUACGGGAGGCAGCAGUGGGGAAUAUUGCACAAUGGGCGGAAGCCGGAUGAAGAAGCGCUGCGUGCGGGAUGACGGCCUGCGGGUUGUGAACCGCAUUAGCCUGUGACGAAGCGUGAGUGACGGUAAUGGGAAAAGAAGCACCGGCUAACUACGUG